rnacentral:piRNA from 1 species
UAUUUGUGUGUUAAAUAAUGGUGUCCAUA